UCCUAAUUUACUACCAACAUGGAAGCUUCCUUUGUGCUAGGUAUGAAGGGCUACACAGGAUCAGUUUCUGUAAUUUGUAUCACAGAGGCCCUUAAACAGAUGGUUUAUCUUUUCCUAUUUUUUAACCAGACCAUUUUAAUCAAAGUCUCAUAAUGCAAUUAUUUUAAAUACAGGAAUUGGACUUUUAAAAAUCUAAAAUGUCAUUAUCACCCAAAGAUCAAACUUUACAUUCAGGUGAUCAUAAUGUCCCAAUGUAGGGUCCAUCGAGGGUAACAAAUGUCUCAUUCUGGUGCACAAUGCUGACAGUGAGGGAAGUUGUGCAUGUGUGGGGACAGAAGUACAUGGGAAUUCUCUACUUUCUGCUCAGUGUUGCUAUGAAUCCAAAACUGCUUUAAAAAAUAAAGUCUAACAAAGUCUAUUAAAAAAAAAAUCCAGGGACGCCUGGGUGGCUCAGUCAGUUAAGCAUCCGACGCUUGAUCUCAGCUCAGGUCUUGAUCUCAGGGUCGUUGAGUUCAAGCCUGGUGUUGGGCUUGGCACUGGGUGUGGAGCCUACUUAAAAAAAGAAACAACCUAAAACACGAAAUGUAUUAUUUUUUUCCCAUGUUUAAUUAAUAAAACACGUAAGUAUAACAACAAUCCUGGUUUUCCAAAAUAAAAAACACCUGUAGGUAGCUGCCUGAUUAAAGUAUUUGGAAGAUAAAAACGCAUUCACAGAAAUAAACUUAAUAAUCCUUGGCCUUUAAGAACGACCCUUCUCAGUGAGAUAUGUGACACGGUAACUUGAGUUAAAUGGGUUACUUUGGGUUGGAUACAAUACUGGUCAAACUCCCACCUUGAACUUUCUUUCUACACAGCCUCCAGGGCAGGCUUUUGAAACAGCCAUCAGAUCACACGGCUGCCUUGAGUAAAACCUUCCUAUGCUUCCCAUCUCUCCCAUCUCGGUCUACAAUCUGCCCUGCAGCCUCUGCCCUGCCUACCACACUCUCCUUCUGUUCCUUCUGCAGCCUCUGCCCUGCCUACCAUACUCCCCUCUGUUCUGCCUGUUCUACGGAUCUGCUGAGCCUGUCCUCACAUCUGAGCUUCGUGCGCUUCUCUGCCUAAAAUAUUCUUCUCCCCGGGCACCUGGGUGGCUCAGUCGGUUAAGCGACCCACUCUUGAUUCUGGCUCAGGGCAUGAUCCCACAAUUCGUGGAACUGAGCCCGAGUUGGGACUGUGCACUGACAGCACGGAGCCUGCUUGGGAUUCUCUCUCCCUGUCUCUGCACCUCUCCUGCUCGCACUCGUGUGCUCUCAAAAAUAAACAAACUUAGGGGCGCCUGGGUGGAUCAGUCGGUUGAGCGUCUGACUCUUGGCUUCAGCUCAGGUCAUGAUCUCAGGGUUCAUGAGUUCGAGCCCUGCGUGGGGCUCUGUGCUGACAGCAUGGAGCCUGCCUGGCAUUCUCUCUCUCCCUCUCUCUCUGCCCCUCCUCUGCUCUGUCUCUCAAAACAAAUAAACUUAAAAACAAAAAAAAAUUCUUCUCCCAAAUCUACACAGGGCUCCCACCAUCACAUUAUUCAAGACUGCUCAAAAACAUCACUUCCUGCUCCCACACCCCUGUACCCUCCCUUUCUUUUUCUUCAUAAUCUCUAUCACCAUCUGAGAUGGAACCGUUGUUAGUUACUGUUCAUCUCACCUGGUGGAACAGAACCUCCUAGCAGGCAGGGAACUUGUCUGUACUUCAUUGCUACACACUCACCGUUCCCUCUCUAUGACUUUAAGUACAGUGUCUAGUACUCGACAGGCACUCGGUAAGUAUCUGUUGUAGGAGAGCGGGUGAAGAGGGUAAGGGUUUGAAAAAAUACACAUUUAGAAGGGGAGAAGGCUUUUAAUGACUCUUGAAUUUUGUACUGAUAAUCCAGAAAACAGAGCAGUUGUUUCCUGCUGACCAGUAGGUCAAAACUUACCUUUGCUUCAGGUGUUACUACUGGCUUUGGCGGGAACUGCACUUCAGUAGCUUUAAGAAUAGUAUUUUCUUGUAGAAUGUCUUGCUGGGACUGGUUGUGGCCAAAAGGCUAUCAGAUAAAAACGAAACAAACAAAGGUGGGCCUGUGGUUAAAAUUAAAGAGAACACAAUUCAAAACCAUAGUGAAGGGAAAGGAGAAGAUCUGCUUUGAUGAGAACUGCUAGAAAGAACUUCGGAGAUGGUCUCCUCGCUCUCUUUUUAUAGGUAAGGGGUGGAAAGGGUCAGAGGUUAAGUACUAACAAGCUCACGGUCCAACACGGAGGUUAAGGCAGGGCUGGCACUGGAAGCAGCGUCUGCCACAGGAUAAUACCUCUGUUGAGGUUUGCUGACAACAAAAGCCAUCCUAGGAGGAACCGGCAACCUCUUCUGCCCUGAGUGACAACUGUAGGCUUAAGUAGUACACAUGUGUGCCACUGGCAGACCCAAGACCCAGAUAAAGACAGAUGGAAAAGGAAGCAAACAGGAGACGGAGUAAGAACAGGCGCGUGGAAUAAAAGCUGGGGUUACUUAGCGGCUUCACUGGGCCCCAAUGUGCCAUUUUCUAAUAGCCUUAAAAUACAAGUUCAAGUUUAGUGUCAUCUCUACAAUGUUUCUACUAAGAGAUCACAAUUCUUUCUACAUAACCUCUGCCAACAUUAUCAGCAGUACUUCCUCAUUAUCAGAGAGUAUAAAUAAUAAUUAACUCCUACUUGGGAUGCAUGACUGGCUCAGUCAGUGGAGCACCCAACUCUUGAUGUUGGGCCCAUGAGUUCGAGCCCAACGUUGGGUGUAGAGGUUACUUAAAAAUAAAACCUAAUAAUAAUAAUAAUAAUAAUAAUAAUAACAAUAAUGAUAAUAAUAUAAUUAACCAUUACUGGCUCUGAAGUUUCCCCAUAUUACAAAGGGUAAGAUACAGAAACAAAGACCAAGGGGCGCCUGGGUGGCUCUGUCGGUUAAGCAUCCAACUUCAGCUCAGGUCAUAAUCUCAUGGCUUGUGAGUUCGAGCCCCAGGUCAGGCUCUGUGCUGAUAGUUCAGAGCCUGAAGCCUGCUUCAGAUUCUGUGUCUCCCUCUCUCUCGGCCCCUCCCCCACUCACACUCUGUCUCUCUCUC